rnacentral:lncRNA from 1 species
GGCAGGGCAGGGCGGACGGAGCCCUCUGAUUGGCUGCUCGGCUGAAUGGUUGCCGAGAGACGAGUAAAUCUUCGGCGGCGGGAAGGGGCGGGGUGGGAAGGGAGGUAGCACCGCGCAGGCGCAAUAGAGAGGGGCAGCGUUAACCGGGCUUGAACUUGGUGGUUACCGGGACACUUCUCUUUCUGUGGUCCUCUUAAUUCUUUACUGCUGCUCUGCCUUUCGUGUGUACCUUCACCUUCCCGCCAUGGCUUUUCCUGCGCCUUCGCAGACCUGGGAAUUUUCGCACAGCUGCUCCUUGGCUGCAAAACACCCCCUCAGAGAUGAAGGGAAGAAGGAGCUACUACAAGGAAAAACACUCCCUGGGAGGGGCUGGAAGGAACCUGGAAACCAGGAUGGACAUCAGAUCGGGGGAGCUGAACCAUCCCAGCAGCCUUGCCCAUGCCAGAACAGUACCUGGAUCAGUCACCUGCAAGGUGUUUUCAUCUCCUCAACAAGAACCUAGAGACUCCUACCCGGUGGACACAGGAAGGUUUGUCCCUUCACCCCACUGGCACGGAACUGUCUUCAACAUUCAUUCACUUUUGAAAGCUUGGGAGCUGUCUGCCAAGACUUCAGCAUGGGAGCAGUCUGGUGACGGAGUGUGUGGGUGUGGUGGGGGUUGA